CCACCCCCAGUUUAUUACUACAACUCUCCUCCCCCACCACCGCCUUCACCAUCACCAUCACCUCCGCCACCAGUUUAUUACUAUAAUUCUCCGCCCCCACCAUCACCUCCGCCACCGGCACUACCCCCACCAUCACCAUCACCUCCACCACCAGUUUAUUAUUAUAAUUCACCACCCCCGCCAUCUCCUUCACCCCCUCCUCCCGUCUACUAUCAUUCACCACCCCCACCAUCUCCAUCACCCCCGCCCCCAUCACCGUCACCACCACCGCCAACUCCAGUAUAUGAAGGGCCAUUACCACCAGUUAUAGGAGUUUCAUAUGCUUCUCCACCUCCACCUCCCUUCUAUUGAUUCUUUAAGAAAAUUUCUCUCUAACUCAUCCUCAAAACACAAAAUUAUACCUACAGUAGAUUGAAGUUGUGGAGAAUAAAUUUGGCAAAGAAAAGAUUGCAGCUUUGCAGGGAAAUUGUAUUGUAUAGAGAUGAUCAUAAUCUGGACUAGAAAAGCCAGUUUACAGUGCUUGUUGUAACUGGUUUCCUCCUUUUUUUUGGUGAGUUUUAUUGUUAUUAUUCAGUUUUUUUUUUCUUUUAACCUUUUUAAUGAAUCAUACUUUGGUUUCUUUGUCUCUAUUUUGGUCUUCCAUAAUAAUAAUAGGAGUAAUAGUAUAGUGAUGAGCAUUUUUUAUUUGUAUUGAUUCUCAGAAUUCAGAUCAUAUUUUUCUAUUUCUUAUGGGUGUUCUUGUUUAUGUUCCUUUCUCCUUUUGUUAUUGUAG
rnacentral:lncRNA from 1 species